rnacentral:rRNA from 1 species
GUCGAACGGAAAGGUCUCUUCGGAGACACUCGAGUGGCGAACGGGUGAGUAACACGUGGGUAAUCUGCCCUGCACUUCGGGAUAAGCCUGGGAAACUGGGUCUAAUACCGGAUAGGACCUCGGGAUGCAUGUCCUGUGGUGGAAAGCUUUUGCGGUGUGGGAUGGGCCCGCGGCCUAUCAGCUUGUUGGUGGGGUGAUGGCCUACCAAGGCGACGACGGGUAGCCGGCCUGAGAGGGUGUCCGGCCACACUGGGACUGAGAUACGGCCCAGACUCCUACGGGAGGCAGCAGUGGGGAAUAUUGCACAAUGGGCGCAAGCCUGAUGCAGCGACGCCGCGUGGGGGAUGACGGCCUUCGGGUUGUAAACCUCUUUCACCAUCGACGAAGGUCCGGGUUUUCUCGGAUUGACGGUAGGUGGAGAAGAAGCACCGGCCAACUACGUGCCAGCAGCCGCGGUAAUACGUAGGGUGCGAGCGUUGUCCGGAAUUACUGAGCGUAAAGAGCUCGUAGGUGGUUUGUCGCGUUGUUCGUGAAAUCUCACGGCUUAACUGUGAGCGUGCGGGCGAUACGGGCAGACUGGAGUACUGCAGGGGAGACUGGAAUUCCUGGUGUAGCGGUGGAAUGCGCAGAUAUCAGGAGGAACACCGGUGGCGAAGGCGGGUCUCUGGGCAGUAACUGACGCUGA